GAAGUUAAUUUUCAUUUUGUUAGUUUUUUGUGGUAUUGUCUGUAAAUAGUUGUUUAUGCUUGUAAGGUGUUUCCGUAGUGUGAGUGUUGGUCGAUAAGGCUAUUUUUAGCAUACCGGUUUGGUCAGUCAGAGUAGUGGCUGUUUGUCAAGCGUGCGGUCACGUUUUCAUGCUGUCCAGCAGGGGUCUUUUCUUGGCGAAUUCCAGAAGUUAGUCUGGGUAAUGGGUAGCCAGAGAGACAAACAUUUUACUGUGUGGGCAUAGGUUUUCUCCAGCCGUGCAGAGGGGAUUUAAGAAGCUAUCUGGGCCAUAUCAGUCAGUACUCUCAGCA